AUGAUCCUAUGCUGCCGAGAAAAGCCUCUAGCGAGCUGGUACAUGGCCCGUACCCCAAACCGACACAGGUGGUCAGGUAGAGAAUACUAAGGCGAUCGAGAGAACUGUGGUUAAGGAACUCGGCAAAAUGCCCCCGUAACUUCGGGAGAAGGGGGACCAGUCCUGGUGACGACAUUUACUGUCUGAGCUGGGGUUGGUCGCAGAGACCAGAGAGAAGCGACUGUUUACUAAAAACACAGGUCCGUGCGAAGUCGUAAGACGAUGUAUACGGACUGACGCCUGCCCGGUGCUGGAAGGUUAAGAGGACCGGUCAGCCACUUCGGUGGCGAAGCUGAGAAUUUAAGCCCCAGUAAACGGCGGUGGUAACUAUAACCAUCCUAAGGUAGCGAAAUUCCUUGUCGGGUAAGUUCCGACCUGCACGAAUGGCGUAACGACUUCUCUGCUGUCUCAACCACAGACUCGGCGAAAUUGCAGUACGAGUAAAGAUGCUCGUUACGCGCGGCAGGACGAAAAGACCCCGGGACCUUCACUAUAGCUUGGUAUUGGUGUUCGGUUCGGUUUGUGUAGGAUAGGUGGGAGACUGUGAAACUCGCACGCCAGUGUGGGUGGAGUCAUUGUUGAAAUACCACUCUGACCGUAUUGGACGUCUAACCUCGGACCAUGAUCUGGUUCAGGGACAGUGCCUGGUGGGUAGUUUAACUGGGGCGGUUGCCUCCUAAAAAGUAACGGAGGCGCCCAAAGGUUCCCUCAGCCUGGUUGGCAAUCAGGUGUUGAGUGUAAGUGCACAAGGGAGCUUGACUGUGAGACGUAAAUGUCGAGCAGGGACGAAAGUCGGGACUAGUGAUCCGGCACCGGCAAGUGGAAGCGGUGUCGCUCAACGGAUAAAAGGUACCCCGGGGAUAACAGGCUGAUCUUCCCCAAGAGUCCAUAUCGACGGGAUGGUUUGGCACCUCGAUGUCGGCUCGUCGCAUCCUGGGGCUGGAGUAGGUCCCAAGGGUUGGGCUGUUCGCCCAUUAAAGCGGCACGCGAGCUGGGUUUAGAACGUCGUGAGACAGUUCGGUCUCUAUCCGCCGCGCGCGUAAGAAACUUGAGGAAACCUGUCCCUAGACGAGAGGACCGGGACGGACGAACCUCUGGUGUGCCAGUUGUUCCACCAGGAGCACCGCUGGUUAGCUACGUUCGGAAGGGAUAACCGCUGAAAGCAUCUAAGCGGAAGCCUGUUCCAAGAUGAGGUUUCUCACCACCUAGCGUGGUUAAGGCCCCCCACAGACCAUGGGGUUGAUAGGCCAGAACUGUAAGCACAGCAAUGUGUUCAGGUGACUGGUACUAAUCGGCCGAGGACUC
rnacentral:rRNA from 1 species